GGUUUCCUGGAGUGAGUCAUAGGAGAUUUGGCCUGCCCGCUGAAACAUUUGAAGGGCCGCAGUAUUUUGACUGUGCAAAGGUAGCAUAAUCAUUUGUCUUUUAAUUGGGGACUUGUAUGAAUGGCUGGACGAGGUGAAUACUAUCUUAUGUUAAUUGAUUUGAAUUUGAAUUUUGAGUAAAAAUGCUUAAAUGUUAUUGAGGGACGAGAAGACCCUAUAGAGUUUGAUACGUGAUAUAUUGGUGGGGUUAAUGAGGAAUAUUGAACUAUUGGUAGAACGUAUUUAGUUGGGGAGACAGGGAGAUAAAUGAAACUCUUCUUUUGGAUGAAUUUGAGUAAAUAGUUUUAUGAUCCAUGGGACAGUGAUUAUAAGAUGAAAUUACCUUAGGGAUAACAGCAUAAUUCUUCUUGAGAGUUCAUAUCGAGAGAGGAGAUUGUGACCUCGAUGUUGGAUUGAGAGAUGUCUUGGGUGUAGGUGUUCAAGGAGCGGGUCUGUUCGACCCUUAGAGUCUCACA
rnacentral:rRNA from 1 species